GACGAACCGUGCGAACGUUGUUCGGAAUCACUGGGCUUAAAGGGCGCGUAGGCGGGCCUUCAAGUCCGGGGUGAAAUCCUCCAGCCUAACUGGAGAAGAGCCUCGGAGACUGAGGGCCUCGAGGAGGGUAGGGGCGUGCGGAACUCUGGGUGGAGCGGUGAAAUGCAUUGAUAUCCAGAGGAACUCCGGAGGCGAAGGCGGCA
rnacentral:rRNA from 1 species